GUUGGGGUGGCAGAGCCCGGCUAAUGCAAAAGACCUAAGCCCUUUAAACAGGGGUUCAACUCCCCUUCCCAACU
rnacentral:tRNA from 1 species